GCUGGUGUGGCUCAGGGGUUAGAGCGUCGGCCUGCGGACCGAAGGGUCCCGGGUUCGAUUCCCCGUCAAGGGCA
rnacentral:tRNA from 1 species